GUUGAUAUUAAUUUUUAUUUAACUAGUUGAUGUUUAAUCCGUCACGCCAGGCUGGGUAGCGGCGAGAAAGAUCUUCCUGACACAAAACCAGUUAGAACUUCAUAAGGCACAAUCAGUGUCCGCGCCUUGAAACAAACAAGAGAGACAGAGACAGAGAGACAGGGAGAGACAGAGAGAGACAGCGACAGUGGCAGCCCUGCCAGAGAUGGAGUCAGAGACAGAGACAGAGUGGAGGGCUGGGAGAGAGCUAACCCAGGGCGAGAGCUGGGGGAAAAUAAACUAGAAAGGCAGAGAGCUCAGACAGCUGGCAAGGGGCUGACAGCCCUGAACCUGGGCUCCAAGCCCAGGACAGCCCCGACUUAAUAGGGACCAGGAGACCAACGCCCUGGGAAAGUCCGGCCAGGGCAGUGGCGGGGUGGUCGACCAGGGCCCUGCCAAGCCUGGCCGCUGCAACUACUAGCGCCUUCCGACAAGGAAAGUGUUUAGUGUCCAUCGGUCUGGUGGGUGGCAAGGGUCUAAUGUCACAGCGAGGCGAGGCCCUGACUUUCGGAAACUCAUCUCCCAGGUCUGGAGGCCAAGAACUUCUUCCCUCCCUGCUCCAGGAGGAGCCGGCCCAGGCAAGAGAGGAAAGGAGAAAAGGGCGUGAAGUUUGCACCCAGCGGUUCAAGUUUCACAAAGUUUGUUGCGGUCACAGAGAGGGGUGUGUGUGUGUGCACGUGUAAGCUCGGCAGUGGCAAAGAGGGAGGAAGAGCACUCGGCUUUUUCCACCUUCACUCCGGGCACCGGCGGGCACUGGCUUGGUCACGGCUUCCUGAGCAGGCACGGGAGCGGGGGCGGGCUGUAGUUUUCCGCCGUCGCGAAGGACACUGUUUGAGGCGACAGAGGCAUCUUCGCCCGCGCGUAGACUCAAGCCGAGCAUCUCACUGUUUGCGUGCUAAUCUGAGUCCACCGCGAAAAGGAAAUCGCUGAAAUUCCGAAGAAAAUUGCCUCUCGCCGGUGGUUAAUAGUUAACUCAGACGGGAAAGUUCCCAGGGAAAGGCGAAAGCCAGGGCGAGAGGUGCAGGGGAGGCGCCCCGGGAGGGCCUCGGCCAGCCCCGGUCUCUCCCCUCCCAGGCCGCGCUCGGCCCCGCGCGCCUCCCCUUCCUGGGCGACGCAUCCCCCACCCCGUAAUUAGCAUCGUUUAGUUCACAAAACCUUUCCUGGGAGAAAUCUGUUCUCUCGUUCCGGG
rnacentral:lncRNA from 1 species